GACGAACGCUGGCGGCGUGCUUAACACAUGCAAGUCGAACGGAAAGGCCCUGCUUUUGUGGGGUGCUCGAGUGGCGAACGGGUGAGUAACACGUGAGUAACCUGCCCUUGACUUUGGGAUAACUUCAGGAAACUGGGGCUAAUACCGGAUAGGAGCUCCUGCUGCAUGGUGGGGGUUGGAAAGUUUCGGCGGUUGGGGAUGGACUCGCGGCGUAUCAGCUUGUUGGUGGGGUAGUGGCUUACCAAGGCUUUGACGGGUAGCCGGCCUGAGAGGGGGAGCGGCCAAGUUGGGACGGAGAUGAGGCCCAGACUCCUACGGGAGGCAGCGGUGGGGAAUAGUACACAAUGGGCGGAAGCCUGAUGCAGCAACGCCGCGUGCGGGAUGACGGCCUGCGGGUUGUAAACCACUUUCGCCUGUGACGAAGCGUGAGUGACGGUAAUGGGUAAAGAAGCACCGGCUAACUACGUG
rnacentral:rRNA from 1 species